rnacentral:rRNA from 1 species
GCGACUCGUAAACCCACCCGAGGGAGCUGAGGGAGGGCGACAUCUGUCGCUUGCCCCAGCCUCCUUGGGCACCUAUGGCCGCCCCCGUCCUGCCUCGUUGCAGAAUGGGCGGCGGGAACAAUACCCGGCGCGGUGGGCGCCAAGGACGAGUGCUUUAGAGGACCACCGUGUGCUGCAUCGCCCAGCGAGGCGGCGCACGACGUGGUCCGGUAAUUAUACCAUGAACUUUACGACUCUUGGCAACGGAUAUCUUGGCUCUCGCAUCGAUGAAGAACGUAGCGAAAUGCGAUACUUGGUGUGAAUUGCAGAAUCCCGUGAACCAUCGAGUUUUUGAACGCAAGUUGCGCCCGAGGCCAUUUGGCCGAGGGCACGCCUGCCUGGGCGUCAUGCCUCACAUCGCUCCGUGCCCCCCACCUCCCACGGCCAUAGCAUUGGGAAGCGGCGGCGCGGAUGCGGAGAUUGACCUCCCGUGCCUUGCGGCGCGGCGGGUUGAAAUGAUGGUCGCUGGUCGGGUCAGACACGGCGAAUGGUGGACGGACACAAAGGACGCUGAACGUUGUGUACUCGACCCUAAGCCAAAGCGGCACGUUCAAGGAGCCCAUGCCGACGGACGCUCAUGAGCGCCCUCGGACCACGACCCCAGGUCAGGCGGGGCCACCCGCUGAGUUAAGGCAUAUCAAAAUGGGGGGGGAAAGAAAAUUUGGGAAAACCUUCCCCU